UACGUAGGGGGCAAGCGUUGUCCGGAUUUAUUGGGCGUAAAGCGCUCGCAGGCGGCUUGCUACGUCGUGCGUGAAACACCCCGGCUCAACUGGGGAGGGUCGUGCGAUACGGGCAGGCUGGAGGCCAGUAGGGGGAUGCGGAAUUCCGGGUGUAGUGGUGGAAUGCGCAGAUAUCAGGAGGAACACCGGUGGCGAAGGCGGGUCUCUGGGCCGUAACUGACGCUGAGGAGCGAAAGCGUGGGGAGCGAACAGG
rnacentral:rRNA from 1 species